rnacentral:lncRNA from 1 species
GCGCCCUUACACAACAGACAACUUUGGUGAAUCAACUUUUGCAACGCAUCGGGAUCCAACGUGCCCCGGACGAGGUAUCCCGAAGUAGGACAAGGGCAGACGAACCUUUCCAGCAGUGUCCUGGCAAGCAGCCAUUCGACCAGCCAUGAGCCGAACGUUCAGGCAGUGUACAUUCCCGAUUGGGCCCCCGAGAUAGCGUAUACUCCCGUCUUAGCGCGCGGAGGAGCGUGUACUCUCGACUAGGCCCACGGAUGAGCAUACAUUCA